rnacentral:rRNA from 1 species
AUUGAACGCUGGCGGCAGGCCUAACACAUGCAAGUCGAGCGGAUGAAGAGAGCUUGCUCUCUGAUUUAGCGGCGGACGGGUGAGUAAUGCCUAGGAAUCUGCCUGGUAGUGGGGGAUAACGUUCCGAAAGGAACGCUAAUACCGCAUACGUCCUGCGGGAGAAAGCAGGGGACCUUCGGGCCUUGCGCUAUCAGAUGAGCCUAGGUCGGAUUAGCUAGUUGGUGAGGUAAUGGCUCACCAAGGCGACGAUCCGUAACUGGUCUGAGAGGAUGAUCAGUCACACUGGAACUGAGACACGGUCCAGACUCCUACGGGAGGCAGCAGUGGGGAAUAUUGGACAAUGGGCGAAAGCCUGAUCCAGCCAUGCCGCGUGUGUGAAGAAGGUCUUCGGAUUGUAAAGCACUUUAAGUUGGGAGGAAGGGCAUUAAGUUAAUACCUUGCUGUUUUGACGUUACCGACAGAAUAAGCACCGGCUAACUCUGUGCCAGCCGCCGCAGUAAAAC